CGGCGGGCCUGUYCCGUCUCCCCGUUCCCCGUCCCCACGAACAAAACCCCGGCGCAUGAUGCGCCAAGGAAUCGCAACGAGAAAAGGAACGUGCCCCCGUUGCGCGCCGGGAACGGAAUGCGCACGGGCGGCCUCGUAUUCUUUGAAAACAAAACGACUCUCGRCAACGGAUAUCUCGGCUCUCGCAUCGAUGAAGAACGUAGCGAAAUGCGAUACUUGGUGUGAAUUGCAGAAUCCCGUGAACCAUCGAGUCUUUGAACGCAAGUUGCGCCCGAAGCCUUCGGGCCGAGGGCACGUCUGCCUGGGUGUCAUGCACCGUCGCCCCCAUCCCCACUCCCCUGAGGGGAGKGGGGAAGCGCGGGGCGGACAAUGGCCUCCCGUGCGCUCUCGCUCGCGGUUGGCCUAAAUCCGAGUUGUUGGCGGCGAGCGCCACGGCAAGCGGUGGUUGGAAAGACCCUCUGAAGUGUCG
rnacentral:rRNA from 1 species